rnacentral:rRNA from 1 species
UACGAAGGGAGCUAGCGUUGUUCGGAAUCACUGGGCGUAAGGCGCACGUAGGCGGAUGUGUCAGUCAGGGGUGAAAUCCCGGAGCUCAACUUCGGAACUGCCCUUGAUACAGCACGUCUUGAGUCCGGAAGAGGUGGGUGGAAUUCCUAGUGUAGAGGUGAAAUUCGUAGAUAUUAGGAAGAACACCGGUGGCGAAGGCGGCCCACUGGUCCGGUACUGACGCUGAGGUGCGAAAGCGUGGGGAGCAAACAGG